CAGGGGCCCUGGAGGAGGAGGCUCGAGGGGCCACUGAAGCAGGUUGCUCUCAAAGAGGGCCCGUGGGGGCGGGGGCGGGAGACCACAGCUCGGCAGGCGCCACAGGAAGGGCCCCGCCCCUUCCUGUCAGCUCUACCAACGGCCCCGCAGCAGCUGUGCCUGCGCCAAGGGGAAGCUGCAACUCUCAAAAACAAAAACCCAAAGGAGGAACUUCCCCGGCCGCCCUGGAAGACUGCUGGGCCCCCACCCCCUUCACGGGGCUCCCAGGGCUGACCGCCAGGGGCCGGGAGGCACAGUGGGUCACCAUCCCGGGGGGACGCGGGGUGCUCGUCACAACCCUGCCCCAUCAGAUGGGAGGCCAGACCUCCAGGGAGGGAACAGAGGCCAGCCGGCUGGGGUGGGGGCAGGAGAGCGGCCUCAGGGUCCUCCUGCCCCCUCGCCCCAGGCCCGGGGCAGCUGGACGGUGGCGGGAAGUCCUUGGGGCUGGCAGACCUCGUACUCACCCAGCUUCUGGGAGAAGAUCUUCUCAAAGGUCACCUCGCCCCGGUCUUCCAGGUACUUCUGCAUGACGCUUCGGAUGCUGAAAGACAGCGGGGGUGGGGGGGUGCCCUCAGUGAGCCGGAGCCCCCGGGGCUCCUGCCAGGCCUGCUGGCCCUGCCUCUUCCCCCCGGGAUCCAGAAUGUCACUGUUCCCUCCAAGAAGGCAAACUACCAGCCCGGGCCUGCCCACCUGGGCUCUGUCCCCAAAAGCUAGGGUGGCCAGCAGGUGGCUGCUCAGAAGUCCGGUCCCAGUACUGCCUCAUGCUGGCUUCGGGAACCUGGCCAAACCUCAAAAGCCGGGCCUCACCAUCAGCAGAUGAUGGGUAACCAAAAUGGGGCCUAUCCUUACCACGGAAUACUGCUCGGCCGUAAGGUGGGACAAAGCACUGAUAUACAGAAAUGCUACGACAUGGAUGAACCCUAGCACGCAGCGAAACGAAAAAAGAGAGUCACAAAAGGCCCCCAGUUCUAUGAUGCCACUUACGUCGCAUGUCCAGAACAGGCAAAUCUACAGAGAGCAGAUUAGUGGGUGCCAGGGGCUGGGGCACAGAAGAGGAGUGACUGCCAACAGAAGGCUGGAAGAUGCCGUGACCUCCUCCAACAGCAAGAAGGGUGCUGAUGACCAGGACAGCCCUCCCGUGUCCCUAUCCUGCGACUCCAACCAACGAGAGCGGAGCUCCCGGCUGAGGGCCGGUGGCUUGGUGGCCCCACGCCAAAGUGGUGGCCACUUCAGAGCUGGUUCCCUCAGGAAAGCAAGGAUGCCCUCUGCAGUGGACAGGGGCCCUGAGGCCAGGAUGUGGUCCUCACCCAGGCCGGCACCGUCUGCCCUCCUGACUGUCACAUGCCAGCUCGCUUCCACCAGCCACCAUCAAGAACACAUCUCCCCAGCCCCAGGGACCCACAGAGACUCACAGGCACUCGGGAGGCGAGGCCUGAUUCCAAGGCCUGCUCUGUGCUCACACACGCCAGAAACUAGAGACACCUGCCCUGGGGCCAGCAGCCCAAAGACCAGAGCCCCUCAUUUCCUGUGAGGGAGAGCUUAGGACCUCCUUUUUGGAGGACAGGAGGGCAGGCCAGGGGCGUGCUGGGGUGCAGCGUAGCAGCCAGGGCCCAGUGCAAGGCAGCGAAGGGCCGGCAGGGUCUUGAGACCGGGCAGCCAGGAGUUAGGGGCUCGGAACCUGGGGCUCUGUAAGGGCCAAGUGCCUGGAUUUCACCUGUAAGGUGGAACAGGAAGGCUGGAUCCUCACCACCCCUUGGCUCAGCUCUUGGCACGCCAUGUCUGCACCCAAAUCCUGUGUUUGGGGACAUUUUGGUCUAUGGAAGGGGAUGGACAAGGUAAUAAAGUGGGGGCCGGGGGAAUCACAAAAUGUCAAUCCCCCACGGAGGUGAGUGGUCAGAUGGAGGUCAGGUGCAGUCAAGCGGGAUGAUGUCCAGAUGCUUCAGACCCAGAUGGGAAGCCCCCCUGAGCCCCAAACUGGCUUCCUGGGAAUCAGCGUGGCUGACACCAGCUUAGGGAAGGCAGCGUGAUGGGAACACCCCCCGCUUCCCACCACAGGACCCGGUGACCCCCAGAACGGCUGGGAACCGGACCCUCCAGGGAAAUGCCCUCUCCCCGAGGGCCCGUGGACGAGGGAGCCAGCCUGCAGCCCAGCCUUCUCCCUUCCCGGCGGCUCUGCUGUGGGGUCAGCCCAGGAGAGAGCAGAAAGUGGGGCACCGGUGGCCAGACCCCGCCUCCCCUCUGGAGCUGCAUGGGACGCCUCUCUUCCCAGCCCACAGCACUUCACUUUCUUCCUUAAAAAGAAAAAAAAAAGUUUUCUAAAUAAAAUAAACAACCCCCCCC